rnacentral:rRNA from 1 species
UGCCAGCCGCCGCGGUAAUACGGGGGAUGCAAGCGUUGUUCGGAAUUAUUGGGCGUAAAGCGUGCGUAGGCGGACUAUUAAGUCUGAUGUGAAAUCCCUCGGCUCAACCGAGGACCUGCAUUGGAUACUGGUAGUCUUGAGUCCCGGAGAGGAUAGCGGAAUUCCUAGUGUAGAGGUGAAAUUCGUAGAUAUUAGGAGGAACACCAGUGGCGAAAGCGGCUCACUGGCUCGAUACUGACGCUGAGGUGCGAAAGUGUGGGGAGCAAACAGGAUUAGAUA